rnacentral:rRNA from 1 species
AUUGAACGCUGGCGGCAGGCCUAACACAUGCAAGUCGAACGAGCCGCGGACGGGUGGUUAAUGUAUGUGGCUCUGCCUGAUGGCGAGGUAUAACUACUGGAAACGGUAGCUAAUACCGCAUACCAUCGGAUGUACCCAUAUGGGAUUAGCUUGUAGGUGAGGUAACGGCUCACCAAGGCGACGAUCCCUAGCUUGUUUGAGAGGAUGACCAGCCACACUGGGACUGAGACACGGCCCAGACUCCUACGUGAGGCAGCAGUGGGGAAUAUUGCACAAUGGGCGCAAGCCUGAUCCAGCCAUGCCGCGUGUACGAAGAAGGCCUUCGGGUUGUAAAGUACUGUCGGCAGGGAGGCGUUACCUACAGAAGAAGCACCGGCUAACUCCGUGCCAGCAGCCGCGGUAAUUC